CGGAGGGUGCAAGCGUUGUUCGGAAUUAUUGGGCGUAAAGCGCGCGCAGGCGGCCUGAAAAGUCCAUGGGUGAAAUGCCGGGGCUCAACCCCGUGUGUGCCCAGGAUACUGUCGGGCUGGAGACACGUAGAGGCAAGCGGAAUUCCGGGUGUAGCGGUGGAAUGCGUAGAGAUCCGGAAGAACACCGGAGGCGAAGGCGGCUUGCUGGGCGUGAUCUGACGCUGAGGCGCGAAAGCGUGGGGAGCGAACAGGAUUAGAUACCCUGGUAGUCCACGCUGUAAACGAUGGGCACUGGAUGCGGGGGGGAUCGGCCCUCUCCGUGUCGCAGCUUACGCGUUAAGUGCCCCGCCUGGGGAGUACGGCCGCAAGGCUG
rnacentral:rRNA from 1 species